GGAUGGGCCCCGACGCGUCACGCCCCCGGCGCCCGCAGACAAGCAGGCUAGGGGAAUCCGACGUCCCUCAGGCCACGUCGUGGGCCCCUCAGCCUGGCCUGAAGCGAACGAUGCUUUUCUCGAGUCCUCAAUCCGGUGUCCUAGUCUCUAGAGGCAAGAGCAUCCCUCCUUCGGGAUGAGGCCCGUCAUGCCUCCACUUGAUUAGUGCAGCAGCCCCACCACUCACCCCAAUCCAGUAUCACUUCCCAUUAACCUUUCUGGGACAACCAGGACAGGCACUAGGAACACCAGAGAGCUGCCUCUUAGGAUCUUCCACUGCUUCCCACUAGGUCCCCUCAAGCCCUCCACAACUCACCCCUCACCACUUGCCUGCCUAAACCCCACUUGUCUUUUGGGACUUAGUUCAAUGCCUCUGCUGCUAGGAAGCAUGAACCCAUGACCUUCUGGAUACCUGGAACGCCCAGCAGCCCUUUCUCAGUGCUUCCCAGAUCUCAGUGCCUCUUCACCUGAGUCCUGCCUGGACUAAGAACUCUUGAGAGCAAGGGUCGUGAUGAAUUCGCCCAGCACAGCCUGACCUCCUGAUGCAUGCCCAGCAUGUAUUUGUUGAAAUGAAUAAUUGGGUCCAGUAACUGGAGGAUUGGAUCUAUAGGGCCGGAGUUCAGGAAAGAGCUGGGCUACAGAGACUCCCCCCCCCCACACACACACACACACCUCCAGUUUUGAAGAUUGAAUCCAGGGCUUCUUGCAUUCUAAGCAAGGAUGCUACCACUGAGCUAUACCCCAAUAUGGAAGAGAUGGUUUUGAGAGCCCUGGAGGAUCCAGUCAUAAUUCUAAUGGAAAGGCUCAAACAGACCAACUGAAGCAAGGCUGAGAGGAUUAGAUUAAGAUCUAGGCAACAACAACAACAAAUCUUACAUAUAUAUAUAAAAAUCUUGAAAAACAGUUCUGGGCUGAUAUGAUGGCUCUGCUCCACAAAAGCCUUUGAAAUGUGGCUCUCUCCACUCCCUGCACCAGGAAGCCCUGGAGAUGGCCUUUGAUCUUGUGAUUCUGAAUAGGGGCUGGAACUCCAGUUAUCACGUAUGCAUUCCAGGUUUUGGAAUGGAGAAAAAUAAUGAAGGGUCAAUGCUAACUCUUUAUUUUAUAUGGAUGACUGUUUUGCCUACAUGUAUGCCUAUAUGUGCAUCUGUGUGUGCUUACGGAUAGUUGUGAGCCACUGUGUGGGUGCUGGGAACUGAAUCUGGCUCCUCUGUAAGAACAGCAUGUGCUCUUAACCACUGAGCCAUCUCUCUACCCUAACAGUAGCUCUUUUAAAGAAAGCGCCACAGAACAUUCCCUGUGCAUCCCACUAACUUGAAUUUUGUCACAUAACCAGACCCGGUAGCAAGAGCAAAAACAUGAAAAGGGGCCGGGCAGUGGUGGUGGAUCCCUUUAAUCCCAACACUCAGGAGGCAGACGCAGGUAGAUCUCCAAGUUCAAGGCCAGCCUGGACUAUAGAGCGAGUUCCAGAACAGCCAAAGCUACAUAGAGAAACCUAUCUCGAAACAAAGCAAAGCAAAACAAAACAAAACAAAAAAGGAAAAAAAGGGGAAAAAAACCCUACCACCACCACCACCACCAAAUGCAACCUCCAUCAUAGGCAGCCAAAUGUCCAACCAAGGAGCAAGGAUUAUAGCACCAAGAAGACCCUGUGUGUGUGUGUGUGUGUGUGUGUGUGUGUGUGUGUGUGUGUGUGUGUGUGUGUGAUUUCCAGAGACAAUGUGUACCAGGCACUGCCUUGGGCACUUCACGUGUAUUACCUCAACCCUAGCAGAGGUUGCCACCAGUACCCUGACACACCGAGGAGCCUUGGAGAGAAGCCACUUACCAAGGACACAGGGUGAGCCAUAUGAGAGCUGUAAGAGGCCUUCUUCCCCUACACUCCAUGCCUGCCGGGAAACCAGAAGAGGCUGCACUGGGGUACCGCUAGAAGGAAUCUUUGAACAACAGUUAAAUGCUGGGAGCCAAACAAGAUGCAGGACCAAGUGCCCCUGUGGCUUUUACAUCAAGGACUCUGCUGGUGACCUUGGCAAGGGCAUCUGGAAGGGUUGGGGGAUGAAGGCCAGUUACUGAGAAGGGCAAACUGGUCUUUCUGGAAGGGUGGCAACGAGGAGGGAGUAGGCUGCUCUACAGGGCAACAUGAGCCAGAGAAGGAGUGCAGAGCAUAGGGCUAGGAGAGAGGAGGCCGCCUUGGCCUGAGGUACUUUUUUUCCUUCCACGCAGGGGGAAAGGAACAGUAGGCACAGACUGUGGAGACUGGAAAAGAGGAGGAUGGAAGGUUCUUGGCUGGGGAAGCUGGCAGAAGACCAAGGUCUGAGAGAACAACUGGUCCAUGCUGUCCACUCUGCUAGCUGCCGCUACAUGUAAAAUAGCUACAUACAGCUAUUCUAGUGAAUUAAAAGUAAAUCAGAACUGGG
ensembl:lincRNA 4732414G09Rik RIKEN cDNA 4732414G09 gene